UGUUGGUGAUGUGGAUAGUCCUUAAGAAAAUACUUGAAUCUCUUCCAUGAAAGAUAUAGGUUUUCAUUUGUCUUUUGCUAGAAACUUAAGAUUUCACAGUCCAACA
rfam:Capsicum annuum cultivar Zunla-1 chromosome 3, whole genome shotgun sequence